UACAGAGGGUGCUAGCGUUGUUCGGAAUCACUGGGCGUAAAGGGUGCGUAGGCGGGGUCUUUUAAGUCAGGGGUGAAAUCCUGGAGCUCAACUCCAGAACUGCCUUUGAUACUGAAGAUCUUGAGUUCGGGAGAGGUGAGUGGAACUGCGAGUGUAGAGGUGAAAUUCGUAGAUAUUCGCAAGAACACCAGUGGCGAAGGCGGCUCACUGGCCCGAUACUGACGCUGAGGCACGAAAGCGUGGGGAGCAAACAGG
rnacentral:rRNA from 1 species